UACAGAGGUCUCAAGCGUUGUUCGGAUUCAUUGGGCGUAAAGGGUGCGUAGGCGGCGCGGUAAGUCGGGUGUGAAAUUUCGAGGCUUAACUUCGAAACUGCAUUCGGUACUGCCGUGCUUGAGGACUGGAGAGGAGACUGGAAUUUACGGUGUAGCGGUGAAAUGCGUAGAUAUCGUAAGGAAGACCAGUGGCGAAGGCGGGUCUCUGGACAGUUCCUGACGCUGAGGCACGAAGGCCAGGGGAGCAAACGGG
rnacentral:rRNA from 1 species